GAGUGAUCUAGGCAUGACCAGGCUGAAGGUAAGGUAACACUUACUGGAGGGCCGAACCCACACCUGUUGAAAAAGGUCGGGAUGAGUUGUGCCUAGGGGUGAAAGGCCAAUCAAACUCGGAAAUAGCUGGUUCUCCGCGAAAUCUAUUUAGGUAGAGCGUCAUCUGAAUACCCUCGGGGGUAGAGCACUGGAUGGGCUAGGGGGUCCCAACGACUUACCAAACCUAACCAAACUCCGAAUACCGAGGAGUACUAGAUGGCAGACACACUGCGGAUGCUAACGUCCGUAGUGAAGAGGGAAACAACCCUGACCUACAGCUAAGGCCCCUAAUUCGUGGCUAAGUGGGAAAGCAGGUGGGACGACCAAAACAACCAGGAGGUUGGCUUAGAAGCAGCCAUCCUUUAAAGAU
rnacentral:rRNA from 14 species